ACACCAAUAACCGCCAGGGAACUACGAGCUUUAGCUUAAAACCCAAAGGACUUGACGGUGUCCCACCCAACUAGAGGAGCCUGUCCUAUAAUCGAUACUCCACGUUACACCUAGCCACUUUUUGCUUAUCAGCCUGUACACCUCCGUCGUAAGCUUACCAUAUGAACGUAUAACAGUAAGCCUAAGGGCUCAACGCCACAAUGGCAGGUCAAGGUGCAGCUCACAAAGUGGAAGAGAUGAGCUACAAUUUCUAACAUAGAACAUACGAAAUAUUAUAUGAAACAUAAUCAUGAAGGUGGAUUUAGUAGUAAGUAAGGAAUAGAGAGCCUCACUUAACUCGGCCCUGGGACG
rnacentral:rRNA from 1 species